UACGAAGGGGGCUAGCGUUGUUCGGAAUUACUGGGCGUAAAGCGUGCGUAGGCGGUUUCUUAAGUCUGCUGUGAAAGCCCCGGGCUCAACCUGGGAAUGGCGGUGGAUACUGAGGAGCUGGAGUACGGUAGAGGAAGGUGGAAUUCCCAGUGUAGAGGUGAAAUUCGUAGAUAUUGGGAAGAACACCGAUGGCGAAGGCAGCCAUCUGGACCGACACUGACGCUGAGGCGCGAAAGCGUGGGGAGCAAACAGG
rnacentral:rRNA from 1 species